rnacentral:rRNA from 1 species
CCUACGGGACGCAGCAGUGAGGAAUAUUGGUCAAUGGACGAGAGUCUGAACCAGCCAAGUAGCGUGAAGGAUGACUGCCCUAUGAGUUGUAAACUGCUUUUGUACGAGGGUAAACGCAGAUACGCGUAUCUGUCUGAAAGUAUCGUACGAAUAAGGAUCGGCUAACUCCGUGCCAGCAGCCGCGGUAAUACGGAGGAUUCAAGCGUUAUCCGGAUUUAUUGGGUUUAAAGGGUGCGUAGGCGGUCGGAUAAGUUAGAGGUGAAAUCCCGAGGCUCAACUUCGGAAUUGCCUCUGAUACUGUUCGGCGAGAGAGUAGUUGCGGUAGGCGGAAUGUAUGGUGUAGCGGUGAAAUGCUUAGAGAUCAUACAGAACACCGAUUGCGAAGGCAGCUUACCAAGCUACUUCUGACGUUGAGGCACGAAAGCGUGGGGAGCAAACAGGAUUAGAUACCCGGGUAGUC